rnacentral:snRNA from 1 species
GUAGCCUAGGUGCUCAUUUUAGCAACACAUACACUAAACAAAGACUAGCAUGGCCCCUGCACAAGGAUGACAUGCAAAUUCACUAAGUGUUUCCUGUUUUG